rnacentral:rRNA from 1 species
CAGGUCACUCCUACGGGAGGUAUUUUGGGGAAUUUUGCGCAAUGGGGGAAACCCUGACGCACCAACGCCGCGUGGAGGAUGAAGUCCCUUGGGAUGUAAACUCCUUUACUCCGGGACGAUUAUGACGGCACCCGCAGAAGAAGUCCCUGCUAACUCCCCGCCAGCACCCGCGGUAAUAUGGAGGGGAGUCGAGUUGUUCGGACUUGCCGGGCGUAAACCUCCCGUAAGCCGAUUUGUUAGUCUCGGGUGAAAUCCUUAGGCUCACCUCCCGAAAUGUCUCUGAUACUGCAAAUUUAUAGUCCUUUGAGGUGAGUGGAAGUCCAGUUUGCAGAUGAUAAUAUCAGUAUCCGACCACUCCCGUGGCGAUUGCAUUUACUCUAGCACCCUUGACUUUAAGCGCCAGCCGUGGCGUAGUAAAUCGAUUCGCCUUCCCCGGUACCCGCGUUUAUUACCAUCGAGAAAAGAAUUUUAAUAUCUUUGAACUUUCUCCUUCUGCUCUCCCUGGUAAAUCUUUGCGUCCGGCUUUCGCACAAAAUAACAAUUCCUGCCGCCUCUUCAGUCCAUUCACGACCAUCAUAAGACCCCACAUUCACUUUCCCU